rnacentral:rRNA from 1 species
GGAUAACCUGCCCUUGGGACCGGGAUAACCCCGGGAAACUGGGGAUAAUACCGGAUAACGCAUAUCUGCUGGAAUGCUUUAUGCGUAAAAUGGAUUUGUCUGCCCAAGGAUGGGUCUGCGGCCUAUCAGGUAGUAGUGGGUGUAAUGUACCUACUAGCCUACGACGGGUACGGGUUGUGAGAGCAAGAGCCCGGAGAUGGAUUCUGAGACAUGAAUCCAGGCCCUACGGGGCGCAGCAGGCGCGAAAACUUUACAAUGCGGGAAACCGCGAUAAGGGGACACCGAGUGCCAGCAUCCUAUGUUGGCUGUCCAUAUGUAUAAAUCACAUGUGUUAGCAAGGGCCGGGCAAGACCGGUGCCAGCCGCCGCGGUAACACCGGCGGCCCGAGUGGUGGCCACUAUUAUUGGGUCUAAAGGGUCCGUAGCCGGUUUGGUCAGUCUUCCGGGAAAUCUGACGGCUUAACCGUUAGGCUUUCGGGGGAUACUACCAGGCUUGGGACCGGGAGAGGUAAGAGGUACUACGGGGGUAGGAGUGAAAUCUUGUAAUCCCCGUGGGACCACCAGUGGCGAAGGCGUCUUACCAGAACGGGUCCGACGGUGAGGGACGAAAGCUGGGGGCACGAACCGGAUUAGAUACCCGGGUAGUCCCAGCUGUAAACUAUGCUCGCUAGGUGUCAGGGACGGUGCGACUGUUUCUGGUGCCGCAGGGAAGCCGUGAAGCGAGCCACCUGGGAAGUACGGUCGCAAGGCUGAAACUUAAAGGAAUUGGCGGGGGAGUACUACAACGGGUGGAGCCUGCGGUUUAAUUGGACUCAACGCCGGAAAACUCACCGGGGGCGACAGCAAUAUGUAGGUCAAGCUAAAGACUUUACCAGAAUCGCUGAGAGGAGGUGCAUGGC